GAUUUUUGUAGGCAUGGCUUAUGCAGCCCCAAAAGCAGGAGCUUCAAGUUUCACUUUCUCCCAAGAAAGGCUCCUAGUGCUAGCUACUAUUCUCUUUUGUGGAUUCUUGGGUUAUCUUGUUUAUGAAGCAGUAAUGGCCACAGCAUCCGAGCUUCUGCAACGGUUCCUGGUGAUUUCCCCUUUGGUUUUGGUCAUUGUAGUCCAUUGCCUCUCUGCAGGCACCACCCAUUUCAACAUUCCCAUGCCAGGGUCUGAGCCUGGAGCCAUCCAUCGUGCUGGAGGCUCUUCUUGGGGUGUUGCUUUUCUGCUACUGCUUCUUUUCCUUCUCAUUUCAUAUCAACCUUCUCUGCACAGUCUUAUCUUCUAGUUUUAUUUUCUUAUUUAGCUUCAAAUGGAGAUCCGGAUCUUAAAAUCAGCCACCAGUAUGACUACGCUAAAUCUUAUCAGUCUUAUAUAUAUCUUCUAAGUUUACAAGUGUAAUGUUGUCUAAGUAUUAUGCUAUUAGAUGAAAAUCAUGCACAUUAAUAUUGUUCUUUUGCUUUACUCUUCGUCUCUUCUUGUACUCACCCGAUCUAUCGGGAUUUUAACAUAAAAAUUCGCAAGAAGAAGGUGGUAACCCAGCAGGGUUUGAACGUGAAAUUUCUUAAUGAAAAUUUCAAAUCUUUAGUGCUAGAGAUGGUAGACUAUGCAUGCAACCAUCAUAUCAGUGGGGUAUGGAGAAAAUUAUAUUGUACUAUCUAAUUGCAAUAUCUUGUGGUUUUCUUUUCUGAGAUUUUAGUUUAACCAGUUUUAUUCCUCCAUUUCCAUGUGUUCCACUUCAAAGAAUUUAUGUUUCAG
rnacentral:misc_RNA from 1 species